AGCUCUUGCGAUGACAAGAAAUUCCUGUCUCAAUAACCCGUCUGGUACGUGCUUCGCUCCGGAGCCACGCUGCUACGUGCUGCCCUGCCCGGCGCCCAGCACAGAGCCCUGCCAGGCAGCGGCACCGCGGUGGCUCCAGGGCACAGCGCAGACCAGGUGAGGCAUGGGAUUCAGGGUGAAGCCGACGUCAGCAGUGAGAUCUAGCUCCGCUUUGUUCACCCCUGGAGGGGGCUGGAAAACAAAUUUGCGGAGCAAGCCUGCAAAGAAGAGGAACAGCUCCAUUUUGGCCAGGCCUUCUCCAACACAAGCCCUGCGUCCUGAAAACAACCAGGAGAGAAGUAAAGGUUAAGCAGUGUAACUGGUGGUGGUGGUAUCCGAGACCUUCUAAACUGGACGUGCAGUCUGUGCAGCUGAGGUUUACUCUUGAGCCACGGGAGCUUGAAUGGAGCACUGCAGGACAUCCCAUGCCUGGUGCUGACUGCACACCUUUGUUACCCCAUAGCCUUCAAUGGAAACCAGAUGAGGAUCAGCUCCCCAGGAGACAGGAGACAUUCAGCGAUGUACGCCGAUAGCCUUCAGGAGAAUAACGAUGGGGAGCCCUCCUGUGACUCCACGCUGGCCCUCAGCCUCUCCCACCUGGCUGGGCUGUUUUAUUGCAAUCCACCUGAAUAAAACCCCUUUGUAAAGUCA